GGUUAAGCGACUAAGCGUACACGGUGGAUGCCCUGGCAGUCAGAGGCGAUGAAGGGCGUGCUAAUCUGCGAUAAGCGCCGGUAAGGUGAUAUGAACCGUUAUAACCGGCGAUACCCGAAUGGGGAAACCCAGUGUGAUUCGUCACACUAUCAUUAACUGAAUCCAUAGGUUAAUGAGGCGAACCGGGGGAACUGAAACAUCUAAGUACCCCGAGGAAAAGAAAUCAACCGAGAUUCCCCCAGUAGCGGCGAGCGAACGGGGAGGAGCCCAGAGCCUGAAUCAGCAUGUGUGUUAGUGGAAGCGUCUGGAAAGGCGCGCGAUACAGGGUGACAGCCCCGUACACAAAAGCGCAUGUGCUGUGAGCUCGAUGAGUAGGGCGGGACACGUGGUAUCCUGUCUGAAUAUGGGGGGACCAUCCUCCAAGGCUAAAUACUCCUGACUGACCGAUAGUGAACCAGUACCGUGAGGGAAAGGCGAAAAGAACCCCGGCGAGGGGAGUGAAAAAGAACCUGAAACCGUGUACGUACAAGCAGUGGGAGCACAGGUUUACCUGUGUGACUGCGUACCUUUUGUAUAAUGGGUCAGCGACUUAUAUUCUGUAGCAAGGUUAACCGAAUAGGGGAGCCGGAGGGAAACCGAGUCUUAAUUGGGCGUUAAGUUGCAGGGUAUAGACCCGAAACCCGGUGAUCUAGCCAUGGGCAGGUUGAAGGUUGGGUAACACUAACUGGAGGACCGAACCGAC
rnacentral:rRNA from 1 species